rnacentral:rRNA from 1 species
AAGUUUGACUUAAUUUUAGAAGUUAAGAGAACCAUCUUAAUAAUUUACAAUAUAAGUAUUUGUUAAAGAAAGUAGUUUAGAAAUUUAAAGAGAAAAGUACCGUAAGGGAAAGUUUUAAAGUGUUUUUGAAAAAAGAAGAGGUUGAACUCGUACCUUGUGUAUUAGGGUUAAAUAAAUUAUUUUGAUAUAAAGUUGUCCCGAAUUUAAGUGAGUUACAAUUUCAUUAAAGUAGAUGUAACAUAAUCUUUUUAAAUGAUUUGUAGGGUGAAAUGCCAAUCGAACUUUUAUAUCUGGUUCUUCAGGAAAUAAAUUGAAUUUAGUAAAUUAAAUGUUUUUUGUUUUAUUUGAUAAGAAAAAAUGAUAGUUUAAAAAAUUUUAGAGGGAUGAGCUUCUAAAAUAAUUCGUAUAAUAAUUAAAUAGGAUAUAAAUGAUUUAAGGUUUAAUAAUUACCUAAAACAAAAAGUUUGUUAUUAUUUACAUUUAUUUUAAUAUUAUUUUUUAUUAUUUAUGUUUUUUACUGGGGUAAAAAAAUUAAUUAUCUAUUUUUAGUAAUAUUGUUUAAAUUAGUAGUAAACUUUGUGGUCAAAUAUUUUAUUUUUAAAUUAAAUAUAUGAUAAUUAGAAGUUUAUUUAAAGGAAUUCGGCAAAUUUUUUCCGCAUGUUUAUCAAAAACAUCUCUUUUAGAAAAUUAAAAGUAAUGCCUGCUCAAUGCUUUAAGUAAAUAGCCGCAGUAUUUUGACUGUGCUAAGGUAGCAUAAUCAUUAGUCUCUUGAUUAGAGGCUGGUAUGAAUGGCAAGACGAGAAAAAAACUGUCUCUAAAUAAAAUUUACGAAUUUCAUUUCUUAAUGAAAAAGUUAAGAUGAUUUUGAAGGACGAUCAGACCCUCUGGAGCUUUAUCAAGAGAAUAUUUUGUAUUUAUUUUAAAAAAUGAAAAUAGAAACUUGAUUUUGUUGGGGCGACAAGAAGAAAAAAAUAACACUUCUUUUAUUUACCAUAAAUUAAUGAAUUAUUGAUCCUUAAUGAGAGAUUAAAAGACUAAGUUACCCUAGGGAUAACAGCGUAAUCUUUUUGGAGAGUUCUUAUCGAUAAAAAGGUUUGCGACCUCGAUGUUGGAUUAAGAAAUUAGCAAGGUGCAGAAGUUUUGCUGGAAAGUCUGUUCGACUUUUAAUUUCUUACAUGAUCUGAGUUCAAACCGGCGUAAGCCAGGUUGGUUUCUAUCCUCAAAUUUUAUUAAAUUUCUUUAGUACGAAAGGAUUGGGAAAUUAAGAAAUUCUUUAUUUAAUGAAUAAAAUUAAUAUAAAGAAAAUUGU